CCUGAAGAGAAAGCCCCAGUCACCCCAGGGGAGGCAGGGAAGCAUCUACCUCUGGCUCUAUCUCUAGCAUCAUUCUUUCUCUCUGGGUCUCUGAGUUCUUAGGUCAGGGAUGGUGUCUCUCUUGCUAAUAGCCCUGUCUCCAGAAGCACACAGGCUUGGCACACACUCCGCGGAAACCAUAGCAACGGGCAGCCGGAAGAUGCGGCCAUUCCUCUCCCUUUUGUCCAUUGCAUUUCAGCAGCGCCCGCGCACAUGGACGCUCCAAUUACAGCUCUAGAGGCUAGAAAUUGGCAGUCAGGAUGUGUGUAAGGCCACGCUCCCUCUGAAGACUCCAGGGGAGGAUCUUUCCUUGCCUCCUCCAGCUUCUGGUGGCUGCCAGCAUCCUUGGCAUUCCUUGGCCUGUGGACACAUCACUCUCAUCUCUGCCCAUGGUCACAACCCCAAGCUCCAGAAUACAGACCAGCAGGCGAGGAGACAAGGAGGCAAGCAGAUGGAUGGUGGAACAAAGUGGCAGAGAAAGAGAGAAGAGGAGAGAUGUCUGGACGCCAAGAGGAGUCUGGCUGGGGCCAGUCAGAGAAGAGUCCAGCGGCUGGGCAGCCCGACUCCAGGGGAAGAUCACCUUCCCACUCCAUCCCCCUUCACGCUCCCCAUCCAUCUCACUAAGAGCCAUCUCUACCACUCAAUAAAACCUUGCAUUCAUCCUUCAA
rnacentral:lncRNA from 1 species